UACGGAGGGUGCAAGCGUUAUCCGGAUUCACUGGGUUUAAAGGGUGCGUAGGCGGAUUCUUAAGUCCGUGGUGAAAUCUCCAAGCUUAACUUGGAAACUGCCAUGGAUACUAUUAGUCUUGAAUGUUGUGGAGGUUAGCGGAAUAUGUCAUGUAGCGGUGAAAUGCAUAGAUAUGUCACAGAACACCAAUUGCGAAGGCAGCUUACUAUGGUAUGAUUGACGCUGAGGCACGAAAGCGUGGGGAUCAAACAGG
rnacentral:rRNA from 1 species